rnacentral:rRNA from 1 species
UACAGAGGUCUCAAGCGUUGUUCGGAUUCAUUGGGCGUAAAGGGUGCGUAGGCGGCGGGGUAAGUCGGGUGUGAAAUCUCAGAGCUCAACUCUGAAAUGGCACUUGAUACUGCUCUGCUAGAGGACUGGAGAGGAGAUUGGAAUUCACGGUGUAGCAGUGAAAUGCGUAGAUAUCGGGAGGAAGACCGGUGGCGAAGGCGGAUCUCUGGACAGUUCCUGACGCUGAGGCGCGAAGGCCAGGGGAGCAAACGGG